GACUGGGAGUGUUUAGCCCUAAAGGAGUCCUUAAGGAUUAGAACUUGAUCUGCGCUGCAAAAGGGGUUUGGCAAAAUCUGGACGGUUCAGAUUGAGUAGUGGAGGAGGUCAGAUGGGCAGGUUGUGUCUCAGGAACAGAAACAGGAAAAAGCCACAGUAGGUAACUAAAGAAUUUUAAGAGUAGUUUGAAUAAAGGAGUCUGUAGAGGCUUUUUUUUUAAUAGGUUUUAUAUUUAGCCUGUUCUGUUUUAACUAAGAUAGUCAGGACUAUAACUUCAUUCAGUAUUAUAUCAAGGUGGUUCCUAAGCUCCCUCUGCACUGCUGGGAACUACACCAGCUCUUACACCUCUGUCUCCAUGAAGACAUUUAAGACAUUGAAACUGAAUUUUGGGGUUUCCUUAUCUCUAGACAACAGGGCUUUUUCUGUUCUGAAUAUCCCUGUGUAAAAAAUGUAAUUAUCAGCCUGGUCUACAGAGUGAGUUCCAGGACAGCCAGGGCUACACAGUAAAACCCUGUCUCAAAAAAAAAAAAAAUGUAAUUAACACCCCUCAGAUAUAUUUAACCAUGCCUUGCACUUGUAGAGGGCCAGUGAGCAAGCUGCAUUCAUGGAAGAUAGUGUAUGCUGGGGCACUAAUGGAAGCCUUUCUUGAGGAAUCUAGCAUAUGAAAGACAAACAUGAAAGAUUAGGACAAGAGCAAGAAGCAUGCAGAAAUAAGGCAGAACAGAAACUGACUGGUUAAAAAGGGGAUUUAUUUUAAAAAAUAAAAUGAAAAAUACAUGAUCUCUUGAGGCUCGAGGAAAAGCUUAAACAUCAAGAAAAAAAC
rnacentral:lncRNA from 1 species